GCUCGGGUGGCUCAGUGGUUGAGCAUCUGCUUUUGGCUCAGGUCAUGUCCUGGGGUCCUGAGGUCCUGGGAUCGAGUCCCACAUCGAGCU
rnacentral:tRNA from 1 species